UGGGGUCCAAGAUAGCUGGAGUGAUCAACAAGUGGGCCUUAAGGCAUUGGGGAAGGAGAGAAUUCUGUUGGAAAAGCAGCGCAGAUGUGAGCUCUUCAGAUCAUCUCUCUGCCUCAAUUUAUUCCCUGCUCCUCUCCCCUGAAAAUUUGAUGUCAUCUUAUUAAUGAAAGCAUCCUGAUGGGCCUGAACCACGGUCGUCUGAGUCACCUCAGUUUGCAGACCUAGGAGGGGGUGAACCAGCUUCCCUAACGUCAUGGCCAUGAACUCUGUAAAAGGACGAUCGUCAUCCUCUCAGAGAAAAGCCUCAUUGUGAAUCCCCACCUCACCACUGCCCCUAUUAGGGAUGGGAGCGAUUCAAUGCCCGGCGGUGGUCCGGAAUAUCCCAGCUGGAGGCAGGUCAACAGAUUUCCAAAGCGACUGGAGCAUUGACGAGAGAAGGCGGCAGAAUCUCCAGGGUUUGAGGGAGGAGGAAGCGAGCACGCCGGGGCUGAAGUUCGUCGGCCGAAGAAGCCAGCGGCCGCGUGGGAGCGACACAGGGGCCGAUUAGCCAGAGGAUGGAUGAUCCGGGUCCGCGGUACCUGCCUUCUUGUCGCUCUGACUUGGAGACGUUUAAUGGCUCACCGACAGUCGAGGAGCAGAAAAGAGCCCGGGCUUGGGAGU